rnacentral:piRNA from 1 species
GUCUACAGACAGAGUUCCAGGACAGA